UACGUAGGGGGCAAGCGUUAUCCGGAUUUACUGGGUGUAAAGGGAGUGUAGGCGGCAAGAUAAGUCAGAUGUGAAAACCCGGGGCUCAACCCCGGGACUGCAUUUGAAACUAUCCUGCUUGAGUGUCGGAGAGGUAAGUGGAAUUCCUAGUGUAGCGGUGAAAUGCGUAGAUAUUAGGAGGAACACCAGUGGCGAAGGCGGCUUACUGGACGAUAACUGACGCUGAGGCUCGAAAGCGUGGGGAGCAAACAGG
rnacentral:rRNA from 1 species